GGUGAUCAGGUCGGCGUAUGACAGAUUGCCCCACGCAUUUCUCCGGGACGAUUUCUUUCGGUGGUGACUGAUCUCACUGACGCCCAGCACCGACUGGAUCGCCGGCACAGCCCUCGCGUCUGUCUUGAUGCCGACAUCCUCAAAACAGAAGGAAAACCCCGAAGAGUGAAUGACAGGAAAACGUUGAAACCGCAAAGUUCCCUGCUCCCCUUUCCAUGAACAAACAGCAGCAAAGCAUCAACCCUCCCUCUACUUAUUCCAGCAGGAGGCUUCAGCAUUCCCACUGCCCACUGUGCAAAGCCCCCAGAGAGAAACCAUGGUCUGUAGUACAUCAAAAGCUACUAUUCACCCCAACAGUUCGACAUCCCUCAGGUUCGCCCUCUCUCACUCACAAGGGAGAGAGAGAUAUCACUCCUUCCACAGUGAGAGGGGAGGUAAGCAGUCGCUGUUUCGAUGUUACAGUCUGUAGUGCCGCUUUUAUUUCGAGUUCCUCCGACUCGAGAUU